GAUGGAGAACUUUAAACUGGGUAUGGCUGGCCCCAAAAAGGCUCGAAAGCUGCUUGAGACAACAGGGUUUUGCAGGGAAUCCUUACAGGUUCCUUUCUGGUGACAUAAAAGAGCUCUUCACUAUGAGCAGACAAACAAGAGCGAAACCUAUGCCUCUUAGUGAUGAUAUUGGGCCUUAUGUUGUUCCUUUUCAACAUCAAACCGCUAACCAGUAUGGUAUGUUUUUUUAUUUAAUCUGCAAUUUAUGAUAAUUCUUUGUUAUUUACGUAUGGAAUUUAUUGGGAGGAAAUGCAGGAAAGAAUUCAUUUACGUGGUUUGGUCCAAGACCAAGGGCGAACAUUACGGACCCUGAAAAAAUAAGAGAAAUACUUAACAAAUUUAAUGACUUCCAGAAGAUACGUACCAAUCCUCUGCUUAAUUUGCUUGUAAGCGGCCUUGUUAACCUCGAAGGAGACCGAUGGAGCAAGCGUAGAAAAAUCAUAAACCCUGCAUUUCAUCAAGAUAAGUUGAAGGUAUAGAAUAGUGAUGGGUAAUCAGACUUUACAGAAAACAUCAUACUUAAACCUAUGCUUUUCUGAUUUAGAAAUAAUUGGAUGCAGAAUAUGUUGCCAGCAUUUUAUCAAAGUUGUAGUGACAUGUUAAGCAAAUGGGAGAAGAUGGUGUGUACAGAAGGAUACAGUGAGUUAGAUGUGUGGCCUUAUCUCGUAGAUUUGACAAGAGAUGUGAUUUCCCGAUCUGCUUUUGGAAGCAGCUUCGAAGAAGGCAAACGAAUUUUCCAAUUACUAGAGGACCAACUCGUUGUCACAAUCAAAUUAAUACAAACUGUUUACAUUCCAGGAUGGAGGUAACCGUCAACUUAGUUUACUUGAAAAUGGUUGCAAAUGUUGGAAUUGGCUAAAUUCGUGUUUGUUUUCUUGAAGGUUUUUGCCAACAAAGACAAACAGGGAGAUGAAGAUGAAACACAGAGGCAUAAAAGAGUCGCUUAGGGAAAUGAUAAAGAGAAGGGAGAAGGCAAUUAAAGCAGGGGAAGAGAGCAAUGAGGACUUGUUGGACAUACUUGUGGAAUCCAAUAUCAGAGAAAUGGAAGCAAAGAAUAUGGGGAUGAGCAUUGAGGAUGUGAUUGAGGAAUGCAAGCUGUUUUACUUUGCUGGCCAGGAGACCACUUCGGUCUUACUGGUGUGGACUAUGGUUUUAUUAGCAAGGUAUCCCGAUUGGCAAAGUAAAGCAAGAGAGGAGGUUUUGCAUGUUUUGGGUGACAGUAAACCUGAUGCUGAUGGCCUUAAUCGUCUCAAAGUUGUAAGUCCCUAGCAUGUCUUUUGAAGGUCCGAUCAAUGAGGUCGACAACUCAAAAACUUUGUUUCUUUUUACGCUAAUUCUACAGGUAACAAUGAUAUUGUACGAGGUUCUAAGGCUGUACCCACCGGUGGUUGAGCUAGGACGUUCCGUUCCAAAAGAAAUAAAACUGGGGAAUUUGUUGUUACCAGUAGGAACAGAAGUUUCGGUUCCGAUCCUGCAGAUCCACCAUGACAAAGAUCUUUGGGGUGACGACGCACGGGAAUUUAAGCCAGAGCGGUUCGCGGAAGGGGUUUCCAAAGCAACAAAGAGUCAAGUCACGUUUCUGCCAUUCGGAUGGGGUCCUAGGAUCUGUAUUGGCCAAAAUUUUGCUUUGAUGGAAGCCAAAAUGGCGAUGGCUAUGAUUCUCCAACGCUUCUGGUUCGAGCUUUCCCCUUCCUAUGCUCACUCUCCUUACAGCAGGGCAACUCUUCGUCCACAGCAUGGUGCACAGAUAAUUUUACAUAAACUUGGCUGUAAUUGAAUUGUUAUGUAAACAAAUCUUUGUGAAAACAUAGCGUUUUAGUGUAUCGUCAAAGUCCGGUAUCUGUAAUGGUACAAAUUCGAUGAAUGAAUAGUAAAUUUUGAGAUGUUUGGUGAAGUCCGAAAUAAUAUGCAGAAAUUGAGCGUCUGUGGUGGACAUAGUUGAGGGACUAAUGUGGUAAUUAUCAAUCAAAUAAUUCGGUACAAAGACUUAUAUGGAAAUUAAAGCAGGGGGAGUUGAAAAUGACUACUCUGCUUUGGGCAUCAAUUUAGAAAGAUUUAAAGUUCAAAUGUGUUAUUAGUUAAGGGAUUUGUUUUAAAGAGGGAAUGACAAUUAAACCUCAUGGUUGAUUUGUGCAAGGAACCGAUGAUGGGAUGAUUAUUCUUAGUGGUAAAAAAAACCAUUAUGGAGGUUAUUACACUUGUUAUCAUCGGCUUAAAAUUCGAUUGGGUUCAGGUCGGAUUAUAUCGAGCUUGUAAGAUAGUUCACCGACCAAGUUUGCAUAAUAAAAUACCUAAAUGAAAAAAAUUUCUAUUUUAGAGGAACCAGAGCCCCUACCAACUCCCGGUUCAACCACUAAACAAUAGCCAUAUCAUAUAAAUAAAUACCACCAUCUAAAAGACUAAAAAAAAACACUUAACAAAGGAUAAAUAGAUAGAUGUUGGAUAAGUGUCCAAAAUAUGAUCUAAGUGAAGAUACGUGGGGUAGGUGUUACGGAAAUGUGAAGACAAGAAUCCCACUAACGUAUGGGAUGUGUACAGUUGAAUGUAGGAAGCUAGUAAAAAAAUUUUUUUGGGUCAUAUAAUUUGUUUAGCAUAUAUUUUUAUAAUUUUUAAAUAUCAUUUUGGAGUUGAAUUAUAAUUUUUUUAUAUAUUAUCUUAAAAUUUUAAGGAGUUAAAACAAAAUUAUUUUAUUUUCAGAUGGUCAAAGUAGAGGUGAUAAUGGGUUGGGCUAUUCGGCCCGGCCUGACGAUUCACCCGAAAAAUAGGAGGGUUUAGGUAAAAAUAUAGGCUCGAAAUAUGGAUUUGAGCAAAAAAAGAGGCCCGUUUAGAAAAUGGGCUAGGCCUCGAGUAAAAUUUUUUGGGCCCAGGCCUGACCUGAAUUAUAUAUUAAAUAUAUAUAUUUUAUUUUUAAUCAAAUAUACUUUUGUUUUAUUAUUAAUUUGGUUAUUAUUUUAGUUCUAAUUUGUUUCAAUUUUAAUAUAACCAGUUUUUAUUAUAUUUUCAAUUUGUGUAUUGUUUUAAGAAUUGUUUUAGUCUCAUUAUUUAUUUAUUUUUUGUUUUAAUAUUUGUUUUAAAAAUUUUUAUUUAAUGAAAUAAGCUAAAAAAAUUAAUAUGGGCUGGGCCAGGCCAGGCUCGGGCCUAGUAAUUUUCUUUUGGGCCGGACUUAGAUAAAUUUUUAAGUCCAUAUUUUGAAUUGGGUCCUAACCUAAAAAAUAGACCUAAAAUUUUAUAUGGGCCCAGCUUGAACCCGACUUGGCCCAUGAUUACCUUUAAGUCAGAGCUAUCCUCGUUUUGCAUUUCUUUGAGAUUCAGCCUUAUCUACUAUUGAUUGCCCUCUCAAUUGAGGUUUGAGUAGAAAGAUUUGGUGAAGCAAGCUAAGCUAUCAAUCAAGGUUUGCAUAAUUAUUUAAAUGUAAUUCUAAUAUUAAAAUAAUUUUUUUUAUUAAUAUAGUAUCAACAAGCAUUAAAUGUAAUGAUCAUAUACUAUUACAUUUUCAAGAAGAGAAAACAUGUUUGAACUUUAAAAACGACGUUACUAAAAACAUUAUCACAAAUCUUGAAAUAUAAAAAAUAUUUUUUUAAAUAUAAUAAAAAAUUAAUUUUAAACCUGAGCUGAAUAAAAUUCUAAUUUUAGUUAAUGAUACCAACAACAAAUCAAUAUUCUAAGCCCGAGCCCGGCUCAUUUUUUUAAUAAACACCAAAAAUUUAUUUUGAAAAUAAAAAAAGUAUUUUAAAAAAAUUUUAAAAUUAAAAGAAUAAAAAUAUAUAUUUAUUAUAUAUUCAGGCCGGGCCGGGCCGGCCCCGGGCCAAAAAAGUGGUGCUCGAGACCCGACCCAUUGUCUAAAUGGGCCUCAUUUUUGCCCAAACCCAUAUUUCGGGCUUAUAUUUUUACCCGAACCUCUCAUAUUUUGGACGGAUCGUCGGGCCGGACCAGGCCGCCCGACCAUGAACACCUCUAGGGCAAAGUCACUCAAUGAAUGCAUGGAAAGAAAGAAUGCAACUUGGUGACAGCUUUUGUUGGAGUUAUAUGCUUUUUUUUACAUAGUGGAACUUUCUGUGGAUUUUCAAGUUUCAUGAACUUUAUACCCUAUGCUUUACGUGAAAAAAAUCAUUGGACUUAAAAGUCUACCAAAAGUUUCACUAUAAUAAAUAAAUAAAUAAAUAAAUAACAUUGCUACAAGACUACAACAUAAAGUUACAAUAAGAGCUUAUAACUCAACAAAGGCUAUCAAUAAAUAAUCUCAAGCAAGCUAAAGAGAAAUGUUGAGAGUACCACUCAAAUAGUGAUUGACUUUAAAAAUUAAAAACCCGAAGUUAUAAUAUCCCAAACGAAAUCAAACCAUAAACAUUAAAUUUUUCGAGUCUACUAGAUACUGUAAAAAAUUCAGCUCCAACGGACACCAAAUGAACCUAUGAUUGAAGAAAAUACGAAAACUAGUCUGGCUAAAUCAAUCUGCCAAACUUACUUUUUAUCUUAUCUUUAAUUUGCUGUGAAAUUCAAAACUACGUGUAAUACCCAAUUUAUGCCCGGCCCAUUUUGUUAAACCAAAUAAAAAAGAAAAGAAAAACAAAAUAUUUAAAUUUAGCCCAAAUGUCCAUUUACACAGCCCAAUUACAAUUGCAAAUAAAAAAAAACUAAAACUAAACCCGAUCCUAAGCAUCAGCCCAAAUUCGACCCAUGCCCAAAACGAAUUCAGAUGCAGAAACCCUAGCCCAGCCUCAACGCAAGAAAAAGUCGGAAGCCCUAAUGGUUGGUGCGCCGCUCCUGUAACAGCCCGAUUUUGGGUCUAGUCGGAACAGUGGUUUUGGGACCACAAAUCCGACGAGAAAAAAAUGUAAUGGCCUGAAUUUUCAGAGGUGUCGGAAUGGUGAUUCGAGAUCACUAAAUUCGAAAAAUGGGUAGAAAAUAUUAUUAAUUUAGUGAGUAUAAGUUAAAUGUGAAGUUAGGAAAAUUUUUGAAAUAGUGAAUAGUACACUAGAAAUAAAUAUUAAAAUAAUUAGAAUCGAAAAUGAGGUAUCGAGACCUCGGGGAUUUUAAACCUAGCCAUAAAUAUUUAUGUAGUGUUAAAAAGUUAGUAUUAAAGUUUCGUUAAGAAAUUUUAAAGUUCCGAUAAUUAAUUGAACAAAAAGGACUAAAUUGUAACAAAUACAAAAUUAUGAGAAAUGAUUAAAUAGCUUAAAUGAUAAAAGGAAGAGGGCUUAAAAGGCAAAUAGACCCAAGGGCUAUUUGGGCUGGACGGCAAAGGCAUGAAAUCAGCAACAAAGUAAGGAGAAUUAAGGGCAAAAUUGGAAUAUUGCAAAAUUUACUUAAUAAAGUUAGGACCAAAGUGGAAUUAUCUAGAUUUCUCUUUAUUUUUCUGCAUUCUCAUUAGCAAAAACACCAUAGAAGGGUUUCCUUAAGCCGGUUCUUCCUAUUUUUACUGCAGAUAAGUUCAAUUCUUGAUUAUUUCUUGAAAAUUUUGUGUUUUUGUGACUUUUACAACUAGGCCCACUUAUUGUAUUCAUUAGUUUUUGAUUCUAUGAAAGAAUUUGAAAGUUGCUAUGAAUACAUGCUGGAAGUAUAUGAUGAUUUAGCAUGGAAUUAGAGCUUUAAAUUGUUCAUAUGCUGAUUUUAUUGAAAGAAUUGAAUAGAAAGUGAAUGUUUGGGACCUAAUAGUAAAAGAGUUUGAAGAUAGAGUUAUAUGUGGAAAUUCUGAGUUUCAAUAGUUGUGAAACAACUUAUAAUGUCUAGGUAAAUUAUUAAUUGAGAAAAUUAAAUUAAUUGAGGGGUUAAUUGAGAAAGGACCGAAUUGUAUAAACUGUGAAAUUUGGGGCAAAAAGGAAAUCAACAUUUUGCACUAAAGCAGUUUUGGACAGCAGCAGUAGUAUAAAUUUGAAAAAUCACCAAAAAUUUUGGGAAUUGAAUUAGAGGGUGAAUAAAAUAUGAAAUUAAAGCUUAUUGAGUCUAGUUUCUUAUAAAGGAAACGGUGUAAGCAAUGGAAUUGUAAAUCAUGAGAUAUAAUAAAUUUUGCGAGACAAUGUCAGAAUGAUUUCGGGUUCCCCUAUUCUGACUUUGGAAAAUCAUUAAAAAUUGAAAAAAAAUUAUGAGUUAUAAUUUAUAUGAUUAGAAUCCUUAAUGAGUCUAUUUUCAAAAUAAAUAAAUGGAAACGUCAUAAAAAUUCUGUACAAUUAGAUAAUUCAUUUUUAGUGAAGAGUGGUCGGAACUGUCAGACAGCAAAACAGGGGAAACUUUAAAGAAUAAAAUGUACUAUUUGGCUGAACCAAAAAUUCUGAAAAUUGUAUGGUAAGAAGGUAUGUGAGUCUAGUUUCAGGGAAAAUUAAGGGAUCUUAAUUUAGAGCUCUGUAGCUCCAGAUAAAAAUAAUUUAGUGACUCUAACUCGGAUAAACAGCUUUGAAUAUACAUGUGAGUGAAUAGUGAAAUUAUAGCUAGUGUUGUUUAAGUGUGUUAUACACAAUAAGGAUGUGGAAUGGAGAGGAGGAGGAGGAGGAAAAAUUGGGAAAUAUAUGAAUGAUUUGUGUAUAAUUGGUCAUAUGCUUAAUUAUAAUUGAUAAACGAUGAAAUAGAAAUGAUGCAUAUAUUUGUGCAGUAUUGGUCAUGGUUUAAGCUCAUGUGGCAAAAUAAAGUUUAUAGUACGGGUGUAUUGUAUUUUUGGUAUAUGAUUUGGCAUUAAGUAAUGUCGUGAAUGGGUAUUGAAUUAACACAUGUUGGAAAGUUUGAUUCAGCACGCGUCGAGCCUCCGCGCCAAAACCACGUGAGCCUUCGUACACUCCAACUGGCCUCCGUACCUGCAACAAACAAAAGUAGACAAAACAACAGCAAAUGAUAGGAAGAAAAGGUAGUAAAUAGUGAAGAUUUUUCUGUAAUUUUCUUUGGAUUUCAUUCUGUAUUUUCGGCUAUAAAAGAGCCAUUAGGAAUAUUUGUAAAGGAGUUUUUUUUUUACCCUCACACACAAAGAGAAUAUACACGCAUACAAGAUCAAUAUAGAGAAAAAAAUAAAAAAAAAUACAAAGAAUAGAAAAUCAAGUUUCGAAGGUGAUUCUUUGAAAAAUCCUUUUCGUUUUUCUCCUUUUUCCUUUUUCCUGGAUCUUUUGUUCAUUUCAAGUAAAAAAAGUAUAAAAAGGAAACAAGUUUAGAGGAAGGAGGUUUACCUGGACGCCGGACCUCGCUCGCCUCGUCGAAAUCGAAGGCUGAGAGGGGAUAAAUCGGUUUUGCGACGGAAGGAAAGGGGGCUAGGGUUCUUCUUUUAAUUUUAAAAAAAAAAUAGAAAAUGUUGCUAAUUAGGUUUUAAUGGGGGGAUUUAUGUGUGUUAAAAAAACGACGUCGUUUAGCGACCUUUGACCCGCGCGGUGACCCGACCCGAGGAAAGGAUCCGCGCGUUUUGGGUCUGAUGGGUUUAUUGCGCAACAAGCCCUUCCGCAUUUGUUUUUCGUUUCAAUCCGGUUUUUAUUUGUUUUUUAAUUGCUCUCUCAUAUUUAGUUCCAAUUUCAAUUGGGUCCAUGAUUAAACGACAUCGUUUUCAUUGAUUGGGUUUGAAGGCCUAGUUUUGUGCGUCUAAAUUGCAGCAAUGGUCCCCCUGAUGUGCAAUGGUUCUCGAUUUAGUCGUCUCCACACUUAUUUCAAAGUCGUCCCUGAGAUUUUGUUUUAUUUUUGAAAUUUUCCUUGUCUUCUUUUAAUUUAUAAUGCUAUUAUUAUUAUUAUUAUUAUUGUUGUUGUUGUUGUUGUUAUUAUUACUAUUAAUAUAGGUAUUGUUAUCGUGUUAGUUUAUAUCUAUUUAUUUACUUUUAUUUUAUUAUGUAUUAUUAUAUAAUGCUUUUAUCAUGUAUCAUUUUAUAUAUUUUCUAUGUUAAUCUAAUAUGAUAUAUAUAUAUAUAUAUGUAUUUUUGUGAUCUUAUUUUAUAAUACUUUUUUAACCCAUUUAUAUGCCUUUAUGUUUUAAAGAUUUAUAAUAUUUUGAGCAAAACUAUUAUAUAUAUAGAUAUACAAUUUAUAUUAGACCAUUUUUAUCGUACAUAUACGUAUAUAUAAUUUAUAUUUUGAAACCCUAUUUUAUUAUAUUUUAUGCCUCUAUAUACAUCAUUAUAUGUUUAUUAUUCUUUAUAUUAAACCUGUCAUUUCACUUAUAUAUUUUUAAAACCAAUAUGUAUUAUUCUUUCUUCCUUGUUAUUUUUUAUCUCUUAAAAUAGAUUGAUAAUUCAUUUAAUUUUUGAAUGUUGUAUGACCGAGAUUAUCGUUGCCAUUCUUGUUCAAAUUUAUCCAUUGCUUGUUCAUAUUAUUUGAUAAUUUAUCGCUCACUAGCAUGUACCGUAAUUUACGAAUUAUCAAUUUGAAUUAUGUACUACCAUUCAAUCGCAUUACAUUUGUUUGGAAAACAUCGAAAUCGUUUUGCACAUAAACCUUCAAAAUGCUCGGUAUCCAAAAUUCUCGAGAGGAUUGUGUCCUAACUUACUAGGCUUCAAUUCUCCUUCUUGAUUUUAAAUAACCGAAUACCCCUUUUUCAAUUUGAACAUAGAAAUUCCAAAAUAAAAAAAAACUCAUUCUCGGGAAUUUGAUGCGUUGUGUCCUAACGUAUUGGAUAUGACAUAUUUUUCUCGAGACGAGGAUUUUUCUAACAAAUAAAAAUAAAGACAAUAUUUGAUAUUUAGGAAUUUUGUGAAAUCGAAGCCUAACUUACUGGGUUUUGAUUUUUUCAUUUGACCCAAGUCGGAUAUCCUUCUCAAAUGCAUAGAUUUUAAAAAAUCAAAAGAUAAACUUAAUUUCGAGGAUUUAAAAUGUUACACUCUAACUUACUAAGUGUGUCAAUUUAUUUCUUUGAAAUAAGUGAGUUUCAUCAUCCAAUUUAUUUUAUUCAAAUAUUCUUUUCCAAGGAUCGUAUUUUAAAAUCUUUUCAAAAUUUCGACAUUAAGACAUUAAACAAUCAAUUCGGUACCAAUUUUGGGCGUCACGAGGGUGCUAACCCUUCCUCGUGCGUAAUCGACUCUCGAACUUGUUUUCUCAAAAUUCGCAGACCUAAAAUUAUUUUCAAGGUGAUCCGAUUACACCACAAUAAAAUAUCGGUGGUGACUCCCAUUCCUAUUUUAAAAGUCGAUUCCCGUUUUUCAAAUAUAAAAAAAUGGUUUCGACACUACGGUUUUGUUUGUUUCACUUAGAACAACUUUCAAAAAGUUAAUUUUGAAAAAUGGAUUGAAUUUUCAAAAUAGAUGAUAUUUUAUUGUGUUAAAAUUUUAUUCGUUGUUUGAAAAAAAAAUUUAAAUCAUUUUCUUAGAAUUAUUUUUAGUGAAACAAAUAUAUCAUAAAUAUAUUUGUUAUAAAAUAUUAUAUUAAUAAUUUUUUUGACAAUUAAAAUAUAUUUUGUGAUAAGGUAAUAUUUUAUAAUAAUUAAUAUCAUAUAUACUUAAUAAUAAAUCAUGUCUAAUUAAAAUUUAAUUUCAAUUAAAUAUAUUAAUAAAGCUACAUUUAAUCAUAUUUUAUAUAAUUAAAAUAUUAAUAUAAAUAUUUUUCAAUAAUAUAUUAAAGAAUAUUUAAAAUUUAAAUUUAUUAUUACUAAGAUUAAUUAUUAAAAUAAAAAUGUACUAUUAAAUAAUUUAUCCAAUGAUAAGUUAUAUUGAUAAUUUAUUAUAUUAUUAAAUAUAAAUAAUUCAAUAUGUAUGUUUAAUAAUAUUAUGUUAUAAUAUUUAUUACUAAUAUUUUAAUAUUUUUAAACAACCAUAUUUUAAAGAUGGUGGUGAUGGUGAUGGUGCAGGCCCCCUUGUUACAAUUACAAUAUUUUUAAGUGGGAUGCAUGUAAUAUAUUGUUAGGGUUUUAGAGUGUGUCGUCUUUAAAAGGGUUAAAUUAUAUAUUUAUAUAAUAUGAUUAUUGUUUAUAAACAUAAUAUUGUAGAUAAGUUUAUAUGUAUGUCAAUAUGUAUCCUACUCUAGGGUUAAUAUGUAUUUUUUAGAUGUGGGUUCACCUAUAUAAUAGUAUGAAUCCAUCAUGCGGUCUCAUGAAAUAUACAAACACAUAUCGUGCUAACACAAAGUACGAACAAUAAAAAGUACAAAUCAAGACCCAAUUGAAUAAUUAAAUAACGGAUAGGUAAUAAUGAAUAUCAUAACAUUCACUAUCCCCUCUUUUCCAGUGAGUUAUUGUUUAUGAUAAAUUUGCAACAAAUGUUUUUAUCAUUAUUUUGUUGGUAAAUGAUAAUAAGCUUAAACUUUACUUUCUUAAGCUCCUUCAAUUCUUUGGACGUUAGCGAGUAAACUUGAGCUUCAGCAUUCCACAAACACCUUAAUUUGAAGACACAGUUCUCUCAUACUAAAAACGACAUGGACGUUUACCUUGUAAUUAGAGAUUUGGGCUCAUUGUUGGGUUAUUAAUGAUACAGGGAUGGAGAGCUUUAAACUGGGUAUGGCUGGCCCCAAAGAGGCUCGAAAGGUGCUUGAGACUAGAGGUGAUCAAGGGCCGGGUUAGGCCCGGUCUAGAAAAAAAUUUAGGCCCAUUUUUUAGGCCUGAAUUCGGCUCGGCUCAAAAUAUGAGCUUAAAAAUUUGUCUAAAUUCGGUCCGAAAGAAAAUUGUUAAGCCCAAGCCUGACCCAUAUUAAAUUUUACAACACCAAAAAAGUAUAUUUAAAUAAAAAUAAAAAAUAUAUAUUUAAUAUAUAAUUCGGGCCGGGCAGAACUCUGGCAAAAAAAAUUUUACUCGGGGCUGGUCUGUUUUCUAAACAGACUUCGUUUUUUUGCCAAAAUCUAUAUUUUAGGCAUAUAUUUUUACCCGAAUCUUCCUAUAUUUUGGGGUGAGCCGUCGGGCCAGACUGGGUAGCCGAACCAAUGAUCACCUCUACUUGAGACAACAGGGUUUUGCAGGGAAUUCUUACAGGUUCGUUUCUGGUGACAUAAAAGAGCUCUUCACUAUAAGCAUACAAACAAGAGCCAAAACUAUGCCUCUUAGUGAUGAUAUUGGGCCUUAUGUUGUUCCUUUUCAACAUCAAACCGUCAACCAGUAUGGUAUGUUUUUUUAUUUAAUCUGCAAUUUAUGAUAAUUCUUUGUUAUUUAUGUAUGGAAUUUAUUGGGAGGAAAUGCUGGAAAGAAUUCAUUUACAAGAAUUGGUCCAAGAUCAAGGGUGAACAUUACGGACCCUGAAAAAUAAGAGAAAUACUUAACAAAUUUAAUGACUUCCAGAAGGUACGUACCAAUCCACUGCUUAAUUUGCUUGUAAGCGGCCUCGUUAACCUCGAAGGAGACCGAUGGAGCAAGCAUAGAAAAAUCAUAACCCUUGCAUUUCAUCAAGAUAAGUUGAAGGUAUAGAAUAGUAAUGGGUACUCAAGACUUUAAAGAAAACAUCAUACUUAAGCCUAUGCUUUUCUGAUUUAGACAUAAUUGGAUGCAGAAUAUGUUGCCAGCAUUUUAUCAAAGUUGUAGUGACAUGUUUAAGCAAAUGGGAGAAGAUGGUGUGUACAGAAGGAUACAUUGAGUUAGAUGUGUGGCCUUAUCUCGUAGAUUUGACAAGAGAUGUGAUUUCCCGAUCUGCUUUUGGAAGCAGCUUCGAAGAAGGCAAACGAAUUUUCCAAUUACUAGAGGACCAACUCGUUGUUACAAUCAAAUUAAUACAAACUGUUUACAUUCCAGGAUGGAGGUAACCGUCUACUUAAUUUACUUGAAAAAGGUUGCAAAUGUUGGAAUUGGCUAAAUUCGUGUUUGUUUUCUUGAAGGUUUUUGCCCACAAAGACAAACAGGGAGGUGAAGAUGAAACACAAAGACAUAAAAGAGUCGCUCAGGGAAAUGAUAAAAAGAAGAGAGCAGGCAAUUAAAGCAGGGGAAGAGAGUAAUGAGGACUUGUUGGACAUACUUGUGGAAUCCAAUAUCAGAGAAAUGGAAGCAAAGAAUAUGGGGAUGAGCAUUGAGGAUGUGAUUGAGGAAUGCAAGCUGUUUUACUUUGCUGGCCAGGAGACCACUUCGGUCUUACUCGUGUGGACUAUGGUUUUAUUAGCAAGGUAUCCCGAUUGGCAAAGUAAAGCAAGAGAGGAGGUUUUGCAUGUUUUGGGUGACAGUAAACCUGAUGCUGAUGGCCUUAAUCGUCUCAAAGUUGUAAGUCCCUAUCAUGUCUCUUGAAGGCCCGAUCUCUGAGGUCGACAACUCAAAAACUUGGUUCUUUGUUUCGCUAAUUCUACAGUUAACAAUGAUAUUGUACGAGGUUCUAAGGCUGUACCCACCAGUGAUUGAGCUAGGACGUUCCGUUCCAAAAGAAAUAAAACUGGGAAAUUUGUUGUUACCAGCAGGAACAGACGUUUCGGUUCCAAUCCUGCAGAUCCACCAUGACAAAGAUCUUUGGGGCGACACCGCACGGGAAUUUAAGCCACAGCGGUUCACGGAAGGGGUUUCCUAAGCAACAAAGAGUCAAGUCACGUUUCUGCCAUUCGGAUGGGGUCCUAGGAUCUGCAUUGGCCAAAACUUUGCCAUGAUGGAAGCUAAAAUGGCGAUGGCUAUGAUUCUCCAACGCUUCUGGUUUGAGCUUUCCCCUUCCUAUGCUUACUCUCCUUACAACAUGGCAACUCUUCGUCCACAGCAUGGUGCACAGAUAAUUUUACAUAAACUUGGCUGUAAUUAAAUUGUUAUGUAAGCAAAUCUUUGUGAAAAUAUAGUGUUUUAGUGUAUCGUCAAAGUCUGUCUGUAAUGGUACAAUUCCGAUGCAUGAAUAGUAAAUUUUGAGAUGUUUGGUGAAGUCCGAAAUAAUAUGCAGAAAUUGAGUGUCUAUGGUGGACAUAGUUGAGGGACUAAUGUGGUAAUUAUCAAUCAAAUAAUUCGGUACAAAGACUUAUAUGGAAAUUAAAGCAGGGGGAGUUGAAAAUGACUACUCUGCUUUGGGCAUCAAUUUAGAAAGAUUUAAAGUACAAAUGUGUUAUUAGUUAAGGGAUUUGUUUUAAAGAGGGAAUGACAAUUAAACCUCAUGGUUGAUUUGUGGAAGGGAACCAAUGAUGGGAUGAUUACUCUUAGUGGUGAAAAAAAAACUAUUAAGGUGGUUAUUAUAGUUGUUAUCACCAGCCUAAAAUUUGAAUAGGUUCAGGUCGGAUUAUAUUGAGCAUGCAAGAUUAGUUCACGGACCAAACUUGUAUGAUAAUAGGUAUUCACAAAAAGAUAUCUAUAGUUUCCAACAAAGUCACAUGUGAGAUCGUGCAUUAGAACCGCAUAAACAUGUUUUAUGUUUAGAAUAUGAUAUGUGUCUAUGUGUAUAGAAUCUACCUAAUAUAUCAUAUUAAUGAAUAGUAUCAAUUGCGGAGCCAAAAAAUUAUUUGUGAGGGGUCAGAAUUAAAUUGUAUAUUUUUACAAAAAUAAAAAUUAAAUUUCACUAUUUUAAUAGUUUAUUUAUUUUUAAUUUUUAAAUGAUUAAAUUAAAUUUUAUAAAUUUUUAGGAUCAAAGUAUAAUUUUAUCAUUACUAAUUUAAAAUUUUAUAAAUUAUAAAAAGUUUAUAUGAAAAGUUUUCUAUUUUAGGGUGGCCAAAGCCCCUGCCAACUUCUGACUCGAUCACUUGCGGUUAGUUGGGUAAAGACUCAAGAAAAAUAGCGGUGUGUUUGGAUGGACAGUGUGUUUACUUGCGGUUAGUGUAAAAAUAGCAGUGGCGGUGAGAUUAGAUACUAUAGCAACACUGUAGCGUGAGACAAAAAGUAAGUUAAACGCACUGCACUGCACUUAAUCGUCUAUCUAAACUCACCAUAAGUGUCUAAAAUAUGAUUUAAGUGAAGAUACGUGGGGUAGGUGUCAUGGAAAUGUAAAAAAAAAAGAAUCCCACUAAUGUAUGGGAUGUGUACAAUUGAAUGCAGGAGUGAAUCAUUUGGGUAACAUUUGGACAAGAAACAUAAUGAACAAAAUGAAAGGAGAGGAAGCUAGUAAUAAAAGAUUCUUUUGGGUUAUAUAAUUUGUUUGGCAUAUAUUUUUAUAAUAUUUAAAUAUCAUUUUGGAGUUGUUGAAUUAUAAUUUCUUUUUAUGUUUUAAAACAUAGUUAUUCUAUUUUUAGAGGUCAGAGUAGAGGUGAGCAUGAGUCGGGCUACUCGGCUCGGGCCGAAGGCUUGCGCAAAAUGUGAGAGAUUUGGGUAAAAAUAUAGGCCCGAAAAAUGAGUUUAGACAAAAAAAAUAUAAGGCCCGUUGAAAAAACAGGCUAGGCCUUGGGUAAGGCAUUUUGGCCCCAGACCCGGCCCAACCCAAAUUCACUAAGGGCACGUUUGGUUCGCUGUAUUGGAAUAGAGGCGUAAUGUAAUAGAUGCGUAAUGGAAUAGAGACGUAAUAGCAAAUCAAUUGUUUGGUUGAAUGUAAUGGAAUAGAGGCGUAAUAGUAUUCUUAUAUUUGGUUGAAUGGAAUAGAGGUGUAACAGCAUAAGGAAAAAAGUUAAAAUGACUAGAAUACCCUUAGCAGAAAUUUGUUUAGAUAAAUGAUUAUUGUUAUUGUUAUUAAAUUUUAAUAAGAUUAUUAAUAUCAGUAAUAAAUAAUUUAAUCAUAUUUUAACAUAAUUAUUAUUAAAUAUAAUUUAAUAAAAAUAUAUAAUUUAAUAAAAUUCUUAAUAUUAAAUAAAAUUCUUAAUAUUAAAUAUUCUUAAUAUUAAAUUACUAAAAUCAUAAUAUAUAAUACUAUAAAAUAUAAUUUAAAUAAUUAUUAUUAAAUAUAAUUUAAUAAAAAUAUAUAAUUUAAUAAAAUUCUCAAUAUUAAAUAUAUUCUUAUAUGAAUUUACUAAAAUCAUAAUAUAUAAUACUAUAAAAUAUAAUUUAAAAUAAUUAUUAUUAAAUAUAAUUUAAUAAAAAAUAUAUAAUUUAAUCUAAAGUUUGAAUGUGUAUUUACCUAGCAAAAAUCAAUGAACUCUCGUGUAACUAUAACCUUAAUAAUAUAUGAUGUAUAAUUAAUAUUUCGUGACUAAUUAAUAGCAUAGAGAUAAAUACAGUAAUGACGAAUUUAUAGUAUACGAUUAAAAUGCUAAUAAUUUAUAGUAUACAAUUAAAAUAUUAUAAAUAAAAUAAUAGUAAAUGAUAUAUAAGAUAAAUUAACAUAUAAAUAAUUCAGAUAUGUAAAGAAUAUGGCUGAAUAUGGUUGCUCCAAUAAUAAAGGAUAUAUAAUAUAUCAUGGUGUUGUUUUGUUUAGAUAGUUCGGUAACUUAGGAGGGUAUGUAUGAAGAACACAAGUUGAUGCAGAUAGAAAGACGACAAUAUUACAUGAUUACAAUAUGAUAUAGUAUAUAUAUAUAAUUUAUGGAUUCCUUGCAAUCACGUGGCUUCUCUAGCCAUUUUAUUUAGCAUAUCCAGUGAUAUUAAGAUCCAGAAUUAUAAUACAACUAAAAUCUGUGCACACUUAUGGAUGAUCCAACAAAGCCUCAGUUGGCUUUAGGUUCCAAAUCUUGCAACCCACAAACCAUAUUUGCUGGCACUGCAACAUCAAUCAUCUUAGGAUAUGCCAAGUUAAGAUCUGUUGCACCAACAAAAACAGAGGAGAAAUUAGAAGGCGAUCCGAAAAAACCCAAGGAUGCUUUUUCUUUUCUUUUUUUUUAUAAUCUUUAUAGACUAGUUAUAUUGAGCAUCAACUUACUUUCCAUGAUGUUUUUGAAAGUCUCUUACAAAAAGGGUAUUCAACAAAUAAUAUAAUCAGACAUAUUGAUAGGACAAAUUGAAACUAGUAUUCUAUGAUCAUAAUAAAGAGUAAUCUUUAAUCAAAUGCGUGAAGGUAUUGAGAUGUCAUGCUUUUUCAUGAUUUCCUGUUUUACCAUGGCGAUGUUCAUUGGAAUAGUCCCAUCCAAGAGAAUCAAACCAAUGCUCAGCAAGAAAUGUUCAAUGCAUAUGUAAUUUUAAUUACAGAAGUUAUAUGCAGCUUAUAUGAGUUCAAGAUCAUAAAAGACUUCAUGGACAAAAGGAAACCCUUUCUUAUCACUGAAAUGAAAAUAGGCACUCUUAAUUUUCUAUUGUCAAAAGUAGCAAGCCAUUUUCCAAAGAAAAGGGAAGAUGGAUGGUUCCAGAAAGAAUACCUCAUCCUUUGUCAAGUGUGGAUUAUAUAGCAUCUCCUCUCCCACAGUGGUUACCNNNNNNNNNNNNNNNNNNNNNNNNNNNNNNNNNNNNNNNNNNNNNNNNNNNNNNNNNNNNNNNNNNNNNNNNNNNNNNNNNNNNNNNNNNNNNNNNNNNNAAAUCGAGCAAUCAUUUAUAUAUGUAAGAAAUGAUAGGAAUAAAGUUUUAUAUCUUACUGAGAAUCCUUUGUAGUCAUGAGUUGGAUAUAGCAAUGUCUCUUUCGGUAAUGUAAAAAUCUGGAUCCAUGAAACAAAUAAGUCCAUAAAUUUUAUUCAAAUUUUGACAAUUACAAUAAAAUUUUGAGAACUCAAAGAAUGUGACCAUAAAAAGUCCCCUGUCCUUACCUGUGAAUGCACUGACUUGUAGAGUUGCUGUGAACUUCCACCCUGCAAAAUGCAUUAAUCAGUGCUAGUCAAUGGCUACUGAAUGUGGGAGCAUUAGAGAAAAUUAUCUUAAAAACUUAAGUAUAACAAAAUUAGACAAUGACAUCCAGAUGGAAAGAAAUUGCCAGCAUAUAAGACCAGCAUUUAUGUACUCACGACUGAAAAUCCUUUGCAAAAAGUAUAGCCCUGAUAGUUCAAACUUUUACUUCAAGGAUGAUUUAAUUACUGAUUAGUUUACCAUGAGGCUUGUGAAUGACAAACACUUUAUGUGCAACCACAGUAACAAGGUAAGCACCAAUAAGUAGAAAACUAGACGAAUAGGUAACCAAGAGUUAGAGCUAAAACAGACAAACAGAGCUACUAUCCAAUGAGCUAAAACAUACAAACAGAGGUAUAUUUUAACAAUGAAAAUAAUCGAUUGCCUUAAACACCAUAUAGUGUUCCAAUCAAUCAAAUUAUAGCAGGCAUUAAAACCUUUCCCUUUCGUUAAUUCACAACUAUUAGCUUCAUUAAUCAAAUCCUAUGUACAGUUGAUCGAUUGAAAGUGUAACAUUUCAAAGACGAAAUUUAAACACAAAACUGGUUAACAUUGAAAUUACAUGUAAAUAUAACCUAAAAAACCAAAAAAUUAAUCAUAUUUUCAGAUUUCAGGCCGAAAUGGAAUGAAAUGAAAGGUAAAUCCAUUUUUUCCUCAAAAAAACAAAAAUAAAGAAAUAAUAUUUCAAGAACAGAUCAUUAAAUUCAUGGUAUAUAUAAAGAAAUUUAAUUGAAAUCAAAGGAAUAGAAGAAGGGAAAAGCGUACUUGGAACCAUUGCUGCUACUCUCUGUUACUCUGUUACCUCAUACGAUUCGUUAAAGGGUUGUUAGGGUUUGUUAAAGGGUUGGUCAGGAUAGAAGCAUGAAAAGGAGGGAGAAGGUUGGAAGGAAAUGGGAAGAAAAAUGAAAAAAAGAAGAAGAUGCUGCAACGGCUUGGAGGGUAAAAGAGGACCGAUUAGGUAAUCCUUUCUUUUCGAAGGGAUUACAAAUCGGCGCUGCAUAAGGGAAAAUGGGGAAUCGGUGCGCUGCGUAAUAGGCCCGUAUUAAGGCAAUACAGCCAACCAAACAGGGUAAUCAGUGGGGCCACGGAUUAGGGGUGUAUUGGCUAAUCCAAUACACCCAACCAAACAUGCUCUAAAGGACAAAAAAAUUUGAUUUUUUAAAUAUUAUUUUCUCUCUAUUUUGCUAUCAUUUUACUAUUAUGUUGCUACUAUGUUAUUGUUAUUUUUGGAUAUUGUAUAAAACUUAUUUUAUUGUUAAUUUUGUUAUUAUUUUAAAGACAUUUGUUAAUUUUGUUAUUAUUUUAGAGACAUUUGCUUGUUAAGUUGCAUCUAUCUUAGUGUUAUUUAAGUAUACAUAUUUUUUAAAAUUUAUUUUCAAUUUAUUGGGAAAUAUUUAUUUUGAUGUUUUUAGUAUUUUGGGUGUAUUAUAUAUAUUAAAAUUAUAUAAAAAUUAAUAUGGCCGAGCCGAGUCAGGUCCAGAUUUUAGCAUUUUUAUUCAGGUCGGGCUUGAGCAAAAUUUUAAGCCCAUUUUUUGGGCCAAACCAGGCCUGGGCUUAGCAAAUGGGCCUAAAUUUUUAGUCAAGCCCGACCUAAACCCGAUCCGGCCCAUGCUCACCUCUAGAUCAGAGCUGCCCUCGCUUUGCAUUUCUUUGAGAUUCAGUCUUAUCUACUGUUGAUUGCCCACUCAAUUGAGGGUUGAGUAGAAAGAUUUGGUGAAGCAAGCUAAGCUAUCAAUCAAGGUUGGAGAAAGCUUAGGAGGUCACAAUGCAUAAUUAUUUAAAUGUAAUUCUAAUAUUUAAAUAAAAUUUAUUAAUAUAGUAUUAACAAGCCCUAAAUGUAAUGAUUAUAUACUAUUACAUUUUUAAGAAGAGAAAACAUGUUUGAACCUUAAAAACAUCAUUAUUAAAAAUGAUAAUUAAAAAUUUUAAAAUAUAAAAAAUAUAAUUAAAAAUUAAUUUUAAACCCGAGCUGGAUAAAAUUCUAAUUUUAGAUAACGAUACUAAUAAGAAAUCAAUAUUAAAAUGAAAAUGAAAAGUAAUUUAAUAUAAUUUUUGAGUCUUGGGCAAAGGCACUCAAUGAAUGCUUGGAAAGAAAUAAUGCAACUUGGUGAUAGCUUUUGUUGGAGUAAUAUGCUCUUAUUAUAGUUUUAUGUUUUUAUCUUGCAAAAACAACAUAUUGGAGUUUUCGGCAUGAUUUUUUCUUAAUACUUUACAUGAAAAAUAAUAAUGGGACUUAAAAAUCUAUCAAAAGCUUCACCAUAAUAAUAAUAAUAAUAAUAAUAAUAAUAAUAAUAAUAAUAAUAAUAAUAAAUUGCUACAAUAUUACAACACAAAGUUACAAUAAGAGCUUAUAACUCAACAAAGGCUAUCAAUAAAUAAUCUCAGGCAAGCUAAAGAGAAAUGUUGAGAAUACCACCCGAAUAGUGACUGACUUUAAAAGUUGAAAACCCAAAGCUAUAGUAUCUCAAACUAAAUCAAACCAUAAACAUUAAAAUUUUCAAGUCUACUAGCUACUGUAAAAAAUACAGCUCCAACAGACACCAAAUGAGUCUUUGAUCGAAGAAAGUACAAAAACUAGUCUGGGUAAACCAAGCUGCCAAACUUACUUAUCUUAUCUUUAAUUUUGCAGUGAAAUUAAAAACUAAGUUUUUGUUUAUUUCACUUGGAACAACUUUCAAAAAAUUAUUUUUGAAAAAUGGAUUGGUUUUUCGAAAUAAAUGAUAUUUUAUUGUGUUAAAAUUUUAUUCGUUGUUGGAAAACUUUUUUUAAAUCAUUUUCUUAAAGUUAUUUUUAGUGAAACAAACAUAACAUAAAUAUAUUUGUUACAAAAAAUUAUACUAGUAAUUUCUUUUGACAAUUAAAAUUUAUUUUAUGGUAAGACAAUAUUUUAUAAUAAUUAAUAUCAUAUAUAUACGUAAUAAAAAUCAUGUUUAAUUAAAAUUUAAUUAAAAUUAGAUGUAUUAAUAAAGCUACUCCUCCACAACCCGCAUCCGCAACAGCACCAGCACCAGCACCAGCACCAGCAUCAGCACCAUGGGACAACUAUUGGGUUUCCUCCACCUGCCUCUAUCGCUCCUCCUCAGUAUUACCCCUAAGCCUACCAGACCGUGCCGGGUAUUCUACAAAUAUGAAAAAACCUUCUUCUCUUUUUAUUAGCUUAUCGAAAUGAAGGAUUUUGAGAUUUGGGCUUUUGUUAGAUGGAUGGUUAAUGAUAUUUUUUAGAUGAAAGAUACAAGUUUUUUAAUGUUUUAGAAGAAAAGGUGUUUAAAUAUUAGGAGUUUUUUAGCAGAGAAAGAAGAUAAAUAAAUGCAUAGAGAUACAUUAGCAAUAUUAUUUGGAUUUGGUUGUCUAAUGUAAUGAAGAAUUUUUUAAGGGUGACCUGAGUAGGUGUGGCAAGAUUCAAAGUUUUUUCUAUUAUAGCAGAUAUAUAUAUAUUAAUGGUUUAAGAAGACUAGAAGUCGGUUUCAAAGGAAGAUGAGAAAUAAAAGCAUUUAUAUAUAUGAUAUGUCAUUAAUUCAUAAACCAAAUAUAUAAAGUAUGUAAAAGUGUCAGGGGUUAAUCAUGGUGUUUUGACAAUCCGGUAACCUUCAACUUGAAGAAAACCUUAGGUUUCAAAAAUUUAUGUGAAGAGUUAGAAUGGUAUGCUUCAUGGAUCUGAAUAACUAGAACAGUGUAAGAGUGGUAUAUUGUGUCAAGUUUGGUUUCUUGUAUAUAAUUGUAUCGAAAACAAUGUUACAUGAGUUAAAAUGAAUGUUCAUCCAAUUUAACAAAGCCUGCAUUAUGUUGAUCAAAAUUUUUAAUUCAUGUUGAGGUUUCUUCCGUGAUAUCUUUGAUGUCAAGGUUAUGAUGUUGCUGAAGGGACACCUGUAAGAGAUAAGCUACGGUGCUGUGGCAUUGGAUUCGGAUGGUUCUUGUAAGUGUACAUAGUUUUCUUUGUUUUUAAAGAGUUCUUUACAUAUGAAGUAAAACAAGUAGCGACUUGAUGGAUAUGUCAUUAAGCUUUAACUUAAGCAAAUCAUUUUCCUUCAUCUCUAAUUGCCAUUUCUUUAAAAGAAAAAGAGGAAGUUUUGUAGUUUACAGUUUGGACAAAUGGAAGUUAAUAUAAUGCACUAUUUGGAUGGACUAUGGAGAUAUCCAAUCAUAUUGGAUGAGUUAUAAGAAACCUGUGAGUUCAUAUUGGGUUUACUUUAUAUCAUAAUUAGAUUGUUGAGCUGGCUGUCAGACUUAGAUGGUAUUUCACGUUGCUACAUGUUAAACUAUACCACUUUCACAUUCAUACGUGAAAUGGCUGGGAUUUAGUGCCAUUCUACUUAGCAGCCUCGUGUAAUACACAGGUGAAAUGUUUAUGUCUUCAUGUCACCUUAAAGUUCCCAUUUCCAUGACGGUAUUGUUAAGUAAAGACUGGUACAUACCCCAAAAUACGGAAAUUGUUUUGGAUGUAUACUAUACUUUACCAUGCAUGAUUUUUUACAAGUUUGCAUGGUAUUUUAUCAUUAUAUUGGUCUUUAUUUUCUAUACUCGCAGCUUCCAUUAAUAUAUUUUUAUGAAUUUUAUCAUUAUGCUGGUUUGAAGGUUCAUCAUUGGUUUCUUCAUUGGGGGCCAUCCCUGGUAUAUUGGAUUCUUUGUUUUACUUUGUGCAAGGAUAGACGACAGAGAGAAAGCAGGAUAUAUUGCAUGCACAAUUGCCGUGAGUAUCUUUUCUAUCAUUAUUUUUUUCUUUUCCAAUUUUAUGAAAGCCAUCCUUCCUGCCUUGUAUUGAUCAUCAAUUUAACCAUUGUAUAUAUGUAUCUUAUGUAUUUGUACCAUGCUUUAUCUUCAAUGCAAAUAUAAGUUAAACUACAAAGAUUGGAUUGUUAAAAAAAGUUUAAAAUGUUAAAAAAAUUGAAAAUUUUGAUUUUGUAAGAAUGAUAGAAAACCAAGGCCAGUGCUUGCAUAUGUUAUCUACUACAUGCACAAUCGGGUCGAUGUCUGUAUAUGUUUCAUGUUUAGAAAUCGUGUUCAAUUGGGUUACGAUAUGUACAAUUGAAGUGUCAAUUUAUAAUUUCCUUAUCAAGAUUACACAUUUUUUUGUUAAUAUUCGGAAUCACUCAAUGGUUAUAAACCCUGAUUGGAUACUGUCCACAAAGUCUAGUUGGAACAUCCCUUGUAUUCUUUGUCCUUUCUAAGAACUUUCCUUUCCAUCAUUCUCGCUUCUGUUUUUUUUUUCUUCCCUCUACUUUAAGUCAUUAUCUAACGUAGAUAUCCCUUGUAUUCUUUGUCCUUUCUAUGGCAAUCGAGUCAAUUGAUGGCAAGCCAAAAAAACAAAAAGAACAGCUAUCCUGUCUUACUCGAUUGCCAUCCCUCCUGUUAAACACCAUUAAGAAAAGGAAAAUUUUAGUUAAGCUUUAAAACAGCCAUGUUUUAACGAUGUUGGUGAUGGUGCUUGUGCAGGCCCUUCUUGCUACAAUUACAAUUAUUCUUAGUGCAACAAUUAAAGCUGGUGGGUGAUAAAGCACACCUCUUUUGACUGAGAGAUGUAUAGGUUCCCAAAUAAUAUGUAUAUGCUCCCCCCCCCCUCCCUUUAUUUUAUUUUAUUUCCAGUAAGUUAUUGUUUAUGAUAAUUUGCAACAAAUGUUUUUGUCAUUAUUUUGUUGGUGAAUGAUAAUAAGAUUAAGCUUUACUUUCUUAAGCUCCAAUUCCUUGGACGUUGGUGAUUUUUUUAUUAUAGUUGAGUCCUUGUAUGGUAUUAAUAUAAUUUAUGUCGCUUAAAAUUUAUAACUAAAAAUAUAAAAUUUAAAUUUUACUUCAAUUUAUUUGUAUUUAUAAAUGGUUAAUUCAAACUUAUUUUUUUCCUCAUUAUAUUUUAUAUUUAAAUUAACAUUUAAACUAUUUUUCAUUAGCAAUGUUGUUAAGAAUUAUAUUUUUUAGCACCAACAUCAAACUUACUAAAAUUAAAUUUUUAACUAUUUUAAAAAAAAUAUUUUUAGCUAUUUAUCAUCAUAGAGAAAAAAAGGUGACGUCACCACGCCUCAUGCUUCGACACCACAAACUAGACUCUCAUCACCUGUAUUUAUCAUCGAUUCAAAUUCCAGAACUACCUAAAAAUAUAUCUUCAAACUUCCUCUGGUUAAGUUCAUUGAUAGUCAACUUACUAUUAUUUCUAAAAAAAAAAACAAAUAAAUUGGUUAAUAGUAAUCUCAAUGAUUCAAUUUUAUUCUUACCAAUAUCUGUCCUUUAGAAAGGGGCUUAUAAAAGGGAUAGAGGUGAGUAAACUUGAGCUUCAGCUUUCCACAAACACCUUAAUUUGAAGACACAGUUCUCUCAUACUAAAAAAGACAUGGAAGUUUACCUUGUAAUUAGAGAUUUGGUUUCAUUGCUUGUUGUUGGGUUAUUAAUGAUAUGGGGAUGCAGAACUUUAAACUGGGUAUGGCUGGCCCCAAAAAGGCUCGAAAGCUGCUUGAGACAACAGGGUUUUGCAGGGAAUCCUUACAGGUUCCUUUCUGGUGACAUAAAAGAGCUCUCAACUAUGAGCAGACAAACAAGAGCCAAACCUAUGCCUCUUAGUGAUGAUAUUGGGCCUUAUGUUGUUCCUUUUCAACAUCAAACUGCUAACCAGUAUGGUAUGCUUUUUUUGUUUAAUCUGCAAUUUAUGAUAAUUCUUUGUUAUUUAUGUAUGGAAUUUAUUGGGAGGAAAUGCAGGAAAGAAUUCAUUUACGUGGUUUGGUCCAAGACCAAGGGUGAACAUUACGGACCCUGAAAAAAUAAGAGAAAUACUUAACAAAUUUAAUGACUUCCAGAAGAUACAUACCAAUCCACUGCUUAAUUUGCUUGUAAGCGGCCUUGCUAACCUCGACGGAGACCGAUGGAGCAAGCGUAGAAAAAUCAUAAACCCUGCAUUUCAUCAAGAUAAGUUGAAGGUAUAGAAUAGUGAUGGGUAAUCAGACUUUACAGAAAACAUCAUACUUAAACCUAUGCUUUCCUGAUUUAGAAAUAAUUGGAUGCAGAAUAUGUUGCCAGCAUUUUAUCAAAGUUGUAGUGACAUGUUAAGCAAAUGGGAGAAGAUGGUGUGUACAAAAGGAUACAGUGAGUUAGAUGUGUGGCCUUAUCUCGUAGAUUUGACAAGAGAUGUGAUUUCCCGAUCUGCUUUUGGAAGCAGCUUCGAAGAAGGCAAACGAAUUUUCCAAUUACUAGAGGACCAACUCGUUCACAUAAUCAAAUUAAUACAAACUGUUUACAUUCCAGGAUGGAGGUAACCCUCAACUUAAUUUACUUGAAAAAGGUUGCAAAUGUUGGAAUUGGCUAAAUUCGUGUUUGUUUUCUUGAAGGUUUUCGCCAACGAAGACAAACAGGGAGAUGAAGAUGAAACACAGGGACAUAAAAGAGUUGCUUAUGGAAAUGAUAAAGAGAAGGGAGAAGGCAAUUAAAGCAGGGGAAGAGAGCAAUGAGGACUUGUUGGACAUACUUGUGGAAUCCAAUAUCAGAGAAAUGGAAGCAAAGAAUAUGGGGAUGAGCAUUGAGGAUGUGAUUGAGGAAUGCAAGCUGUUUUACUUAGCUGGCCAAGAGACCACUUCGGUCUUACUGGUGUGGACUAUGGUUUUAUUAGCAAGGUAUCCCGAUUGGCAAAGUAAAGCAAGAGAGGAGGUUUUGCAUGUUUUGGGUGACAGUAAACCUGACGCUGAUGGCCUUAAUCGUCUCAAAGUUGUAAGUCCCUAGCAUGUCUUUUGAAGGUCCGAUCAAUGAGGUCGACAACUCAAAAACUUUGUUUCUUUUUUCGCUAAUUCUACAGGUAACAAUGAUAUUGUACGAGGUUCUAAGGCUGUACCCACCGGUGGUUGAGCUAGAACGUUCCGUUCCAAAAGAAAUAAAACUGGGGAAUUUGUUGUUACCAGUAGGAACAGAAGUUUCGGUUCCGAUCCUGCUGAUCCACCAUGACAAAGAUCUUUGGGGCGAUGACGCACGGGAAUUUAAGCCAGAGCGGUUCGCGGAAGGGGUUUCCAAAGCAACAAAGAGUCAAGUCACGUUUCUGCCAUUCGGAUGGGGUCCUAGGAUCUGUAUUGGCCAAAAUUUUGCUAUGAUGGAAGCCAAAAUGGCGAUGGCUAUGAUUCUCCAACGCUUCUGGUUCGAGCUUUCCCCUUCCUAUGCUCACUCUCCUUACGGCAGGGCAACUCUUCGUCCACAGCAUGGUGCACAGAUAAUUUUACAUAAACUUGGCUGUAAUUGAAUUGUUAUGUAAACAAAUCUUUGUGAAAACAUAGCGUUUUAGUUUAUCGUCAAAGUCCGGUGUCUGUAAUGGUACAAAUUCGAUGCAUGAAUAGUAAAGUUUGAGAUGUUUGGUGAAGUCCGAAAUAAUAUGCAGAAAUUGAGUGUGGUAAUUAUCAAUCAAAUAAUUCGGUACAAAGACUUAUAUGGAAAUUAAAGCAGGGGGAGUUGAAAAUGACUACUCUGCUUUGGGCAUCAAUUUAGAAAGAUUUAAAGUACAAAUGUGUUAUUAGUUAAGGGAUUUGUUUUAAAGAGGGAAUGACAAUUAAACCUCAUGGUUGAUUUGUGGAAGGGAACCGAUGAUGGGAUGAUUAUUCUUAGUGGUAAAAAAAACUAUUGUGGAGGUUAUUAUACUUGUUAUCAUCGGCUUAAAAUUCGAAUGGGUUCAAGUCGGAUUAUAUCGAGCUUGUAAGAUGAGUUCACGGAUCAAGUUUGCAUAAUAAAAAUACUUAAAUGAAAAAAUUUCUAUUUUAGAGGGACCAGAGCCCCUACCAACUCCCGGCUCAGCUACUAAACAAUACCCAUAUCAUAUAAAUAAAUACCACAUAAAAAAAACUCAAAGAAAAACACUGACAAAUGAUAAAUAGAUAGAUGUUGGAUAAGUGUCCAAAAUAUGAUUUAAGUGAAGAUACAUGGGGUAGGUGUCACGGAAAUGUGAAUACAAGAAUACUACUAAUGGGAUGUGUACAGUUGAAUGUAGGGAGCAAAAAGAGGAGUGAAUCAUUUUGGUAACAUUGGGACAAGAAACAUAAUGAACAAAAUGGAAGCAGAGGAAGCUAGUAAAAGAAAUUUUUUGGGUCAUAUAAUUUGUUUGGCAUAUAUUUUUAUAAUUUUUAAAUAUCAUUUUGGACUUGAAUUAUAAUUUUUUUAUAUAUUAUCUUAAAAUUGUAUAAAUUUUAAGGAGUUAAAACAAAAUUAUUCUAUUUUUAGAUGGUUAAAGUAGAGAUGAUAAUGGGUUGAGCUAUUCGGCCCAGCCUGACGAUCCACCCGAAAAAUAGGAAGGUUUGGGUAAAAAUAUAGGCUCGAAAUAUGAAUUUGAGCAAAAAAAGAGGCCCGUUUAGAAAAUAGGCCGGGCCUCAGGUAAAACCUUUUGGGCCCAGACCUGACCUAAAUUAUAUAUUAAAUAUAUAUAUUUUUAUUUUUAAUCAAAUAUACUUUUGUUUUAUUAUUAAUUUGGUUAUUAUUUUAGUUCUAAUUUGUUUCAAUUUUAAUAUAACUACUUUUUAUUAUAUUUUCAAUUUGUGUAUUGUUUUAAGAAUUAUUUUAGUCUCAUUAUUUAUUUAUUUUUUAUUUUAAUAUUUGUUUUAAAAUUUUUUAUUUAUUGAAAUAAGCUAAAAAAAUUAAUAUGGGUUGGACCAGACCGGGCUCGGGCCUAGUAAUUUUCUUUUGGGCCGGACUUAAACAAAUUUUUAAGCCCAUAUUUUGAAUUGGGUCCUACACUAGAAAAUGGACCUAAAAUUUUGUAUUACCUUUAGGUCAGAGCUAUCCUCGUUUUGCAUUUCUUUGAGAUUCAGCCUUAUUUACUUUUGAUUGCCACUCAAUAGAGGGUUGAGUAGAAAUAUUUGGUGAAGCAAGCUAAGCUAUCAAUCAAGGUGUGCAUAAUUAUUUAAAUGUAAUUCUAAUAUUAAAAUAAAAUUUUUAUUAAUAUAGUAUCAACAAGCAUUAAAUGUAAUCAUCAUAUACUAUUAAAUUUUCAAUAAGAGAAAACAUGCUUGAACUUUAAAAACGAUGUUACUAAAAACAUUAUCACAAAUCUUGAAAUAUAAAAAAUAUUUUUUAAUAUAAUAAAAAAUAAUUUUAAACCCGAGAUGAAUAAAAUUCUAAUUUUAAUUAAUGAUACCAACAACAAAUCAAUAUUUAAAUUAAAAUUUAUCUUAAUUUAAUAUAAUAAAAUUGGACCUGAAUAUUGAAUUUUUGAGUCUUGGGCAAAGUAGAGGUGCUCAUGGGCCGGGCUGGGUCGGGUUUGGGAAAAAUUUCGGCCCGCAUCCUAGGCUCGGGCUCGGCCCGACCCAAAUAUGGGCCUAAAAUUUUGUCUAGGCCUAGCCCGACCCGGCCCGACUUAUUUUUUUUAAUAAACACCAACAAUUUAUUUUGAAAAUAAAAAAAUAAAAAAAGUAUUUUAAAAAUAUUUUAAAAUUUUUAAAAAAUAUAUAUAUUUAUUAUAUAUUCGGGCCGGGCCAGGCCCGAGCCAAAAAAGUGGCGCCCAAGGCCCGGCCUGUUUUCUAAACGGGACUCAUUUUUUACCCAAACCCAUAUUUCGGGCCUAUAUUUCUACCCGAAUCUCUCAUAUUUCGGGCGAACCGUCGGGCCAGACCGGGCCGCCCGGCCAUGAACACCUCUAGGACAAAGUCACUCAAUGAAUGCAUGGAAAGAAAUAAUGCAACUUGGUGAUAGCUUUUGUUGGAGUUAUAUGCUUUUUUUUUACGUAGUGGAACUUUCGGUGGAUUUUCAAGUUUCAUGAACUUUAUACCCUAUGCUUUACGUGAAAAAAAAUCAUUGGACUUAAAAGUCUGCCAAAAGUUUCACUAUAAUAAAUAAAUAAAUAACAUUGCUACAAGACUUCAACAUAAAGUUACAAUAAGAGCUUAUAACUCAACAAAGGCUAUCAAUAAAUAAUCUCAAACAAAUUAAAGAGAAAUGUUGAGAGUACCACUCGAAUAGUGAUUAACUUUAAAAAUUGAAAACCCAAAGUUAUAAUAUCCCAAACGAAAUCAAACCAUAAACAUUAAAUUUUUCGAGUCUACUAGAUACUGCAAAAAAUUCAGCUCCAACAGACACCAAAUGAACCUAUGAUCGAAGAAAAUACGAAAAUUAGUCUAGCUAAAUCAAGCUGCCAAACUUACUUUUUAUCUUAUCUUUAAUUUGCUGUGAAAUUCAAAACUAAGGUUUUGUACUUAGAACAACUUUCAAAAAGUUAAUUUUGAAAAAUGGAUUGAAUUUUCAAAAUAGAUGAUAUUUUAUUGUGUUAAAAUUUUAUUCGUUGUUUGAAAAAAAAUUUAAAUCAUUUUCUUAGAAUUAUUUUUAGUGAAACAAACAUAUCAUAAAUAUAUUUGUUAUAAAAUAUUUAUAUUAAUAUUUUCUUUUAACAAUUAAAAUAUAUUUUGUGAUAAGGUAUAUUUUAUAAUAAUUAAUAUCAUAUAUACUUAAUAAUAAAUCAUGUCUAAUUAAAAUUUAAUUUCAAUUAAAUAUAUUAAUAAAGCUACAUAUAAUCAUAUUUUAUAUAAUAAAAAUAUUAAUAUAAAUAUUUUUUUAAUAAUAUAUUAAAGAAUAUUUAAAAUUUAAAUUUAUUAUUACUAAGAUUAAUUAUUAAAAUAAAAAUGUAAUAUUAAAUAAUUUAUCCAAUGAUAAGUUAUAUUAAUAAUUUAUUAUAUUAUUAAAUAUAAAUAAUUAAAUAUGUAUGUUUAAUAAUAUUAUGUUAUAAUAUUUAUUAUUAAUAUUUUAAUAUUUUUAAACAACCAUGUUUUAAAGAUGGUGGUGAUGCUGAUGGUGCAGGCCCCCUUGUUACAAUUACAAUAUUUUUAAGUGGGAUGCAUGUAAUAUAUUGUUAGGGUUCUAGAGUGUGUCAUCUUUAAAAGGGUUAAAUUAUAUAUUUAUAUAAUAUGAUUAUUGUUUAUAAACAUAAUAUUGUAGAUAAACUUUUAUGCAUGUCAAUAUGUAUCCUACUCUGGGGUUAAUAUGUAUUUUUAGAUAUGGAUUCACCUAUAUAAUAGUAUGAAUCCAUCAUGCGGUCUCAUGAAAUAUACAAACACAUAUCGUGCGAACACAAAGUACGAACAAUAAAAAGUACAAAUCAAGACCAAUUGAGUAAUUGAAUAACAGAUAGGUAAUAAUGACUAUCCCCUCUUGUUUGAAUUUAUUUUAUUUCCAGUGAGUUAUCGUUUAUGAUAAAUUUACAACAAAUGUUUUUAUCAUUAUUUUGUUGGUAAAUGAUAAUAAGAUUAAACUUUACUUUCUUAAGCUCCUUCAAUUCUUUGGACGUUAGCAAGUAAACUUGAGCUUCAGCAUUCCACAAACACCUUAAUUUGAAGACACAGUUCUCCCAUACUAAAAACAACAUGGACGUUUACCUUGUAAUUAAUGAUACGGGGAUGGAGAGCUUUAAACUGGGUAUGGCUGGCCCCAAAGAGGCUCGAAACGUGCUUGAGACUAGAGGUCCAGGCAAAUUUUUAGGCCCAUUUUUUAGGCUUGGACUGGGCCCGACUCGAAAUAUGAGCUUAAAAAUUUGUCUAAGUUCGGUCCAAAAGAAAAUUGUUAAGCCUAAGCCUGGCCCAUAUUAAAUUUUACAACACCAAAAAACUAUAUAUUUAAUAUAUAUAUUUGAUUAAAAAGUAUAUUUAAUUAAAAAUAAAAAUAUAUAUUUAAUAUAUAAUUCGGGCCGGGCCGAACUCGGGCCAAAAAAGUUUUACUCGGGGCUGGUCCGUUUUCUAAACAGACCUCGUUUCUUUGUCAAAAUCCAUAUUUUAGGCUUAUAUUUUUACCCGAAACUUCCUAUUUUUCGGGUGAGCCGUCAGGCCGGACUGGGUAGCCCAACCAAUGAUCACCUCUACUUGAGACAACAGGGUUUUGCAGGGAAUUCUUACAGGUUCGUUUCUGGCGACAUAAAAGAGCUCUUCACUAUAAGCAUACAAACAAGAGCCAAACCUAUGCCUCUUAGUGAUGAUAUUGGGCCUUAUGUUGUUCCUUUUCAACAUCAAACCGUCAACCAGUAUGGUAUGUUUUUUAAUUUAAUCUACAAUUUAUGAUAAUUCUUUGCUAUUUAUGUAUGGAAUUUAUUGGGAGGAAAUGCUGGGAAGAAUUCAUUUACGUGGAUUGGUCCAAGAUCAAGGGUGAACAUUACGGACCCUGAAAAAUAAGAGAAAUACUUAACAAAUUUAAUGAGAUCCAGAAGGUACGUACCAAUCCACUGCUUAAUUUGCUUGUAAGCGGCCUUGUUAACCUCGAAGGAGACCGAUGGAGCAAGCAUAGAAAAAUCAUAACCCUUCAUUUCAUCAAGAUAAGUUGAAGGUAUAGAAUAGUGAUGGGUACUUAAGACUUAAUUUACAGAAAACAUCAUACUUAAAUCUAUGCUUUUCUGAUUUAGAAAUGAUUGGAUGCAGAAUAUGUUGCCAGCAUUUUAUCAAAGUUGUUGUGACAUGUUAAGCAAAUGGGAGAAGAUGGUGUGUACAGAAGGAUACAGUGAGUUAGAUGUGUGGCCUUAUCUUGUAGAUUUGACAAGAGAUGUGAUUUCCCGAUCUGCUUUUGGAAGCAGCUUCGAAGAAGGCAGACGAAUUUUCCAAUUACUAGAGGACCAACUCGUUCUCACAAUCAAAUUAAUACAAACUGUUUACAUUCCAGGAUGGAGGUAACCCUCAACUUAAUUUACUUGAAAAAGGUUGCAAAUGUUGGAAUUCGCUAAAUUCGUGUUUGUUUUCUUGAAGGUUUUUGCCAACAAAGACAAACAGGGAGAUGAAGAUGAAACACAGACAUAAAAGAGUCGCUUAGGGAAAUGAUAAAGAGAAGGGAGAAGGCAAUUAAAGCAGGGGAAGAGAGCAAUGAGGACUUGUUGGACAUACUUGUGGAAUCCAAUAUCAGAGAAAUGGAAGCAAAGAAUAUGGGGAUGAGCAUUGAGGAUGUGAUUGAGGAAUGCAAGCUGUUUUACUUUGCUGACCAAAAGACCACUUCGGUCUUGCUGGUGUGGACUAUGGUUUUAUUAGCAAGGUAUCCCGAUUGGCAAAGUAAAGCAAGAGAGGAGGUUUUGCAUGUUUUGGGUGACAGUAAACCUGAUGCUGAUGGCCUUAAUCGUCUCAAAGUUGUAAGUCCCUAGCAUGUCUCUUGAAGGCCCGAUCUCUGAGGUCGACAACUCAAAAACUUGGUUUCUUUGUUUCGCUAAUUCUACAGUUAACAAUGAUAUUGUACGAGGUUCUAAGGCUGUACCCACCAGUGAUUGAGCUAGGACGUUCCGUUCCAAAAGAAAUAAAACUGGGAAAUUUGUUGUUACCAGCAGGAACAGACGUUUCGGUUCCAAUCCUGCAGAUCCACCAUGACAAAGAUCUUUGAGGCGACGACGCACGGGAAUUUAAGCCACAGCGGUUCACGGAAGGGGUUUCCUAAGCAACAAAGAGUCAAGUCACGUUUCUGCCAUUCGGAUGGGGUCCUAGGAUCUGCAUUGGCCAAAACUUUGCCAUGAUGGGAACCAAAAUGACGAUGGCUAUGAUUCUCCAACGCUUCUGGUUCGAGCUUUCCUCUUCCUAUGCUUACUCUCCUUACAACAUGGCAACUCUUCGUCCACAGCAUGGUGCACAGAUAAUUUUACAAAAACUUGGCUGUAAUUGAAUUGUUAUGUAAACAAAUCUUUGUGAAAAUAUAGUGUUUUAGUGUAUCGUCAAAGUCUGCCUGUAAUGGUACAAUUCCGAUGCAUGAAUAGUAAAUCUUGAGAUGUUUGGUGAAGUCCGAAAUAAUAUGCAGAAAUUGAGUGUCUUGAAUGGAUGUAGUAUUUAAUGGUGGACAUAGUUGAGGGACUAAUGUGGUAAUUAUCAAACAAAUAAUUGCAUAUGGUACAAAGACUUGUAUGGAAAUUAGAGCAGGGCGAGUUGAAAAUUACUACUUUGCUUCGGGCAUCAAUUUAGAAAGAUUUAAAGUACAAAUGUAUUAUUAGUUUAAGGGAUUUGUUUUAAAGAAGGAAUGACAAUUAAACCUCAUGGUUGAUGUGUGGAAGGGAACCAAUGAUGGGAUGAUUACUCCUAGUGGUAAAAAAAAAAACUAUUAAGGUGGUUAUUAUAGUUGUUAUCACCGGCCCAAAAUUAGAAUAGGUUCAGGUCGGAUUAUAUUGAGCUUGUAGAUGAGUUUGCAUGAUAAUAGGUGUUCACAGAAAGAUAUCUAUAGUUUCCUACAAAGUCACAUGUGAGAUCGUGCAUUGGGACCGCAUAAAAAUGUUUUAUGUUUAGAAUAUGAUACGUGUCUAUGUGUAUGGAAUCUACCUAAUAUAUCAUAUUAAUUAAUAGUAUCAAUUGCGGAGCCAAAAAAUUAUUUCUGAGGGGUCAGAAUUAAAUUGUAUAUUUUUACAAAAAUAAAAAUUAAAUUUCACUAUUUUAAUAGUUUAUUUCUUUUUAAUUUUUAAAUGAUUAAAUUAAAUUUUUAUAAAUUUUUGGGAUCAAAGUACAAUUUUAUCAUUUCUAAUUUAAAAUUUUAUAAAAUAUAAAAAGUUUAUAUGAAAAGUUUUCUAUUUUAGAGUGGCCAAAGCCCCUGCCAACUUCCGACUCGAUCACUAAACAAUAUAAAUAAAUAAAUACCACCAUCUAAAAGACUCAAGAAAAACACUCAACGAUAAAUAGAUAGAUGUUGGGUAAAGAUACGUUUGGAUGGGCGGUGCGUUUACUUGCGGUUAGUAUAAAAAUAGCGGUGGCGGUUAGAUUAGAUACUAUAGCAACACUGUAGCGUAAGACAAAAAAUAAGCUAAACGCACUGCACUGCACUUAAUCGCCCAUCCAAACUCACCCUAAGUGUCCAAAAUAUGAUUUAAGUGAAGAUACGUAGGGUAGGUGUCAUGGAAAUGUAAAAGACAAGAAUCCCACUAAUGUAUGGGAUGUGUACAGCUGAAUGUAGGGAGCAAAGAGGAGUGAAUCAUUUUGGUAACAUUUGGACAAGAAACAUAAUGAACAAAAUGAAAGGAGAGGAAGCUAGUAAAAGAUUUUUUUGGGUUAUAUAAUUUGUUUGGCAUAUAUUUUUAUAAUUUUUAAAUAUCAUUUUGGAGUUGAAUUAUAAUUUCUUUUUAUGUUUUAAAACAUAAUUAUUCUAUCUUCAAAGGGUUAGAGUAGAGGUGAGCAUGGGUCGGGCUACUCGGCCCGAAAUGUGAGAGAUUUGGGCAAAAAUAUAGGCUCAAAAAAUGGACUUGGACAAAAAAAUAUAAGGCCCGUUGAAAAAUGGGCCGGGCAUUGGGUAAGGCAUUUUUGGCCCCGGGCCCGGCCCAAUCCUAAUUCACUAAAGGACAAAAAAAAUCUGAUUUUUAAAUAUUAUUUUCUCCCUAUUUUGCUACCAUUUUACUAUUAUGUUGCUACUAUUUUGUUGUUAUUUUUUGGAUAUUGUAUAAAACUUAUUUUAUUGUUAAUUUUGUUAUUAUUUUAAAGACAUUUGUUAAUUUUGUUAUUAUUUUAGAGACAUUUGCUUGUUAAGUUGCAUCUAUCUUAGUGUUAUUUAAGUAUACAUAUUUUUUAAAAUUUAUUUUCAAUUUAUUGGGAAAUAUUUAUUUUGAUGUUUUUAGUAUUUUGGAUGUAUUAUAUAUAUUAAAAUUAUAUAAAAAUUAAUAUGGCCGAGCCGAGUCAGGCCCAGAUUUUAGCAUUUUUAUUCAAGUCGGGCUUGAGCAAAAUUUUAAGCCCAUUUUUUGGGCCAAACCAGGCCUGGGCUUAGCAAAUGGGCCUAAAUUUUUAGUCAAGCCCGACCUAAACCCGAUCCGGCCCAUACUCACCUCUAGAUCAGAGCUGCCCUCGCUUUUCAUUUCUUUGAGAUUCAGUCUUAUCUACUGUUGAUUGCCCACUCAAUUGAGGGUUGAGUAGAAAGAUUUGGUGAAGCAAGCUAAGCUAUCAAUCAAGGUUGGAGAAAGCUUAGGAGGUCACAAUGCAUAAUUAUUUAAAUGUAAUUCUAAUAUUUAAAUAAAAUUUAUUAAUAUAGUAUUAACAAGCCCUAAAUGUAAUGAUUAUAUACUAUUACAUUUUUAAGAAGAGAAAACAUGUUUGAACCUUAAAAACAUCAUUAUUAAAAAUGAUAAUUAAAAAUUUUAAAAUAUAAAAAAUAUAAUUAAAAAUUAAUUUUAAACCCGAGCUGGAUAAAAUUCUAAUUUUAGAUAACGAUACUAAUAAGAAAUCAAUAUUAAAAUGAAAAUGAAAAGUAAUUUAAUAUAAUUUUUGAGUCUUGGGCAAAGGCACUCAAUGAAUGCUUGGAAAGAAAUAAUGCAACUUGGUGAUAGCUUUUGUUGGAGUAAUAUGCUCUUAUUAUAGUUUUAUGUUUUUAUCUUGCAAAAACAACAUAUUGGAGUUUUCGGCAUGAUUUUUUCUUAAUACUUUACAUGAAAAAUAAUAAUGGGACUUAAAAAUCUAUCAAAAGCUUCACCAUAAUAAUAAUAAUAAUAAUAAUAAUAAUAAUAAUAAUAAUAAUAAUAAUAAAUUGCUACAAUAUUACAACACGUUACAAUAAGAGCUUAUAACUCAACAAAGGCUAUCAAUAAAUAAUCUCAGGCAAGCUAAAGAGAAAUGUUGAGAAUACCACCCGAAUAGUGACUGACUUUAAAAGUUGAAAACCCGAAGCUAUAGUAUCUCAAACGAAAUCAAACCAUAAACAUUAAAAUUUUCAAGUCUACUAGCUACUGUAAAAAAUGCAGCUCCAACAGACACCAAAUGAGUCUUUGAUCGAAGAAAGUACAAAAACUAGUCUGGGUAAACCAAGCUGCCAAACUUACUUAUCUUAUCUUUAAUUUUGCAGUGAAAUUAAAAACUAAGUUUUUGUUUAUUUCACUUGGAACAACUUUCAAAAAAUUAUUUUUGAAAAAUGGAUUGGUUUUUCGAAAUAGAUGAUAUUUUAUUGUGUUAAAAUUUUAUUCGUUGUUGGAAAACUUUUUUUAAAUCAUUUUCUUAAAGUUAUUUUUAGUGAAACAAACAUAACAUAAAUAUAUUUGUUACAAAAAAAUUAUAUUAGUAUUUUCUUUUGACAAUUAAAAUUUAUUUUAUGAUAAGACAAUAUUUUGUAAUAAUUAAUAUCAUAUAUAUACUUAUUAAAAAAAUCUUGUUUAAUUAAAAUUUAAUUAAAAUUAAAUAUAUUAAUAAAGCUACAUAUAAUCAUAUUUUUUAUAAUUAAAAUAUUAAUAUAAAUAUUUUUCAAUAAUAUAUUAAAAUAUUAAAAUUUAAAUUAUUAUUACUUAAAUUAAUUAUUAAAAUAAAAAUUUAAGAUUAAAUAAUUUAUUCAAUGAUAAGUUUUAUUAAUAAUUUAUUGUAUUAUUAAAUAUAAUUAAUUAAAUAUGCAUAUUUAAUAAUAUUACGUUAUAAUAUUUUAAUAUUCUUAAACAGCCAUGUUUUUAAGAUGCUGGUGAUGGUGAUGGUGCGGGCCUCUCUUGUUACAAUUACUAUAAUUUUUUGUGCAAUAAUUGAAGUUGUUGGGUGGUCAAGCAAACCUCUUUUGACUGAGAUGCAUAUAAUAUACCCGCAUGUCCCCGCCUCCUAAAAUUUAAAUUUGCUAUUUGAAUCUUUAAAAUUUUUAAAAAUUUUAAAUUCAUAAAAGUAAAAUUAUACUUUGACCCUCUAAAAUUAUAAAAAUUUAAUUUAAUCUUUUAAAAAUUAUAAAUAUAUAGACUAUAAAAAAUUAAAAUUUCAUUGGGCCCCUAAUAUAUUGUUCAGGCUUCACCCUUGAUACUGAUGUUGACUAUUUUAGAGUAUGUGUCUUCUUUAAUAGGGUUAAAUUAUAUAUUUAUAUAAUAUAGUUAUUGUUUAUGGACGUGACAUCGUAACUAGGUUCUUAUGCAUGUCAACAUAUAUCCUAUUUUAAGGUUAACACGUAUUUUUAAAUAUGAAUUCACCUAUAUAAUGGUAUGAACCAUCAUGCAGUCUCAUAAAAUAUGCGAAUAUAUGUCGUGCGAACACAAAGUACAAACCACACAGAAUACGAAUUAAGACCCAAUUGAAUAAUCGGAUACGAAUCAGUAAUAAUGAAUUUCAUAACAGCCACCAACCCCUCUUUUGUUUUAAUUUAUUUUAUUUCCAGUAAGUUAUUGUUUGUGAUAAUUCACAACAAAUGCUUUUGUCAUUAUUUUGUUGGUAAAUAAUAAUAAGAUUAAACUUUACUUUCUUAAGCUCCUUCAAUUCUUUGGAAGUUGGUGGUUUUUUAUUCUAAUCUUAUUUUUUUUAUUAAUUUCUUUUUUUAUAAUAAAUGUGUUUAUAGAUCAGGUUGGAUUAUAAUUGAAUCAUUGUCUGGUAUUAACAUAAUUUAUAUCGAUUAAAAUUUAUUCGACUGGAAAUAUAAAUUUAAAAUUUUACUUCAAUUUAUCUUAAUUUAUAAAUUGUGAAUUUAAAUUUAUUUAUUUUCUCUCAUUAUAUUCAGUUUUUCGGAUCAUAUUUGGCCCAGAACAAAAACUAGAACAAAAAAACAAAUAUAUAUGUUUUCCAAAAAUUAAAUUGUUAACUUCAAAAAAAUAUAUUUUUAGCUAUUUAUCAUCAUAGAGAAAAACAAAUAAGGUCACCUCGCCUUAUGCUUCAACACCUCAACCUAGAUUCUCAUCACCUGUAUUUAUCAUCGAUUCAGAUUUUUAUUUUUACUAUAUUCUAGAUCUACCUAUAAAUAUAUCUUCAAACUUCCUCUGGUUAAGUUCAUUCAUAGAUAGGUGAGUAAACUUGAGCUUCAGCUUCAACAAACACCUUAGUUUGAAGACACAAUUCUCUCAUACUAAAAAUAUGGAAGUUUACCAUGUAAUUAGAGAUUUGGUCUCAUUGCUUGUUGUUGGUUUAUUAAUGAUAUGGGGAUGGAGAGCUUUAAACUGGGUAUGGUUGGCCCCAAAGAGGCUCGAAAGGUGCUUGAGACAACAGGGUUUUGCAGGGAAUCCUUACAGGUUCCUUUCUGGUGACAUAAAAGAGCUCUCAACUAUGAGCAGACAAACAAGAGCCAAACCUAUGCCUCUUAGUGAUGAUAUUGGGCCUUAUGUUGCUCCUUUUCUUCAUCAAACUGUCAACCAGUAUGGUAUGUUUAAUUAUUAUUUAAUCUUCAAUUUAUGAUAAUUCUUUGUUAUUUAUGAAUGGAAUUUAUUGGGAGGAAAUGCAGGAAAGAAUUCAUUUACGUGGAUUGGUCCAAGACAAAGGGUGAACAUUAUGGACCCUGAAAAAAUAAGAGAAAUAUUUACCAAAUUUAAUGACUUCCAGAAGGUGCGUACCAAUCCACUGCUUACUUUGCUUGUAAGCGGCCUUGUUAACCUCGAAGGAGACCGAUGGAGCAAACAUAGAAAAAUCAUAAACCCUUCAUUUCAUCA
rnacentral:lncRNA from 1 species